ACGGGCUUCGGUCUGGUGGCGAGUGGCGAACGGGUGAGCAAAGUAUCGGAACGUACCUUUCAGUGGGGGAUAACGUAGCGAAAGUUACGCUAAUACCGCAUAUUCUGUGAGCAGGAAAGCAGGGGAUCGCAAGACCUUGCGCUGAUUGAGCGGCCGAUAUCAGAUUAGCUAGUUGGUGGGGUAAAGGCCUACCAAGGCGACGAUCUGUAGCGGGUCUGAGAGGAUGAUCCGCCACACUGGAACUGAGACACGGUCCAGACUCCUACGGGAGGCAGCAGUGGGGAAUUUUGGACAAUGGGGGCAACCCUGAUCCAGCCAUGCCGCGUGAGUGAAGAAGGCCUUCGGGUUGUAAAGCUCUUUCGGCCGGGAAGAAAUCGCAUGGGCUAAUACCCUGGUGUGGGAUGACGGUACCGGAAUAAGAAGCACCGGGCUAACUACGUGCCAGCAGCCGCGGUAAUACGUAGGGUGCGAGCGUUAAUCGGAAUUACUGGGCGUAAAGCGUGCGCAGGGGUUUAGUAAGACAGGCGUGAAAUCCCCGGGCUCAACCUGGGAACUGCGCUUGUGACUGCUAAGCUAGAGUAC
rnacentral:rRNA from 1 species